rnacentral:lncRNA from 1 species
AGUCGGCUACGGUGAAGCUGUCAAAACCAGUGGCUCUGUGGACUCAGCAGGAUGUCUGCAAGUGGUUGAAGAAACAUUGUCCAAAUCAGUAUCAGAUCUACAGCGAGUCGUUCAAACAGCAUGACAUAACUGGGCGCGCCCUGCUGAGACUUACAGACAAAAAGCUCGAGCGAAUGGGGAUUGCCCAGGAGAACCUCCGGCAGCACAUCCUACAACAGGUGCUCCAGCUGAAGGUGCGAGAAGAAGUCAGAAACCUACAGUUACUCACACAAGCCUCAACCGAGGGUUCUCCAUAAACAUGGUUAGCCUUCCAAGCUGCUGUCCUGCCAGUCGAUAUGAACAUGGCCUGUUCCUCACAGAAAGACGAACUCUUGAUGCUGCCAGAAGAUAUCCUUGGAGCAUUGACAGAUUAACUGGAUUAACUGGAAAAAAAAAAAAAUUCGGUCAAGAUCAUGGGCUUUGGAAAGUCUUAGUUUGCUAUGGAUUUUUAAAUGAGGUGCAUAAUAUACAGUGCCAACUUGUUCCAAGUGGUCAUUGGCAGACCAUUAGCUGGAAAAUAGCUUCCAGUUUUCAUCACUGUGCAUAACUCAAGCUCCCUCGGGGAGCUGUCUGUGCCCUUCACUAGAAGUCCUGUUUUAGCAUGGCAACUACUGGAUUAUUUUAUUAUGUGUGCAGAUGGCAUGAUGUGUUAGAAAAAAAAAAUUACAGCAGUUCUGCAGUCUCAGUGGAAGUGUUCACAAUAUUAGGCCCUGGUAGGAAUGUAAACAUGUCUUGAUUGUGUUAGUUACGGCGUCUAAAGGUAUUUUGUCCAACUCUUAAGCACUUUACAUGACAACACUACACGGAAACGAAUCCACACGUUCGAUACAUGUGAGACAACCGAGUCUUUUCUUCUUUCUUUUUGUAAAUCUUGUCCUAUUUCUGGCUCAGACUGUCCAAGACAAGACUCCACUCCUGGCACAGCCCUGGCUGUUUGUGGUAGAUGGUGAAAUAUGGCCAUAAUACUGUUAGACUUAAUCUCUUGACCCUUGGCUGAACAGCUGGAUUUCUUAGAGCACCAAAGGGAAGGAGAGGUGAGCCUGGAGGUGGUACUGUCUUACCUCUUGUUUCCUCUUAACCUGGGCACAACUGGCCACGUGCACAUGCAAACACUCACACACAGGAGGCCUCUCUUUGGCCAAUGUACAUAUUCUUUCAUUCUGUAGACGCGUUCAUUCAAAAAAAGGAAGGGGGUGGCCAUCUUUUGAUCAUAGACUAUAUUGGGUAGAUGGUGAGGGCAGCUAAGUUGCAGUUUCCCUGGGCAGUCUGACUUUAACACUUUGGAAAACUUUCUAGGUCAAGGUUCGAUCACAGCUCUGAAGAGUAAAAGCAGCAAGUGACCCUCUGCAUGUCUGGAAAAGCAAGAGGUUCCAGUCCCACACUAGAUUUCUUCCUCAGUAGAGAAGCUACUAGUCCCUUUUAAUUCUUUCUGGGGUUCUACAUGCCACUAAUUUUUUUUUUUUUUUUACUAUGUUUUACAACAAAGCACAGUCCUAGGAAACGGGUCAACUCAGUUAUUGCUUGUCUUUAGGUAUUAGAAAAUUGUCCCUGUAGACGCAUCCUACAUCAUGCUUUAGCAUUUUUUUUUUUUCCUGAAAAUGUAAAGUUGACUGAACCACAGCCUCAGCACAGUGUGUUCUGAAGGCCCACAGUCCCAGCCUGGGACCGGCAGGCAUCGGGGACAUUUCUUUAAAUGAAUGUAACAAACCUGGGACCUGCCAGCACAAGCAAGCUUGGCAUUUUAAAGGGUCGCCAGACACGCACUCAUUGUCUGUUCUCCCCACAUCUUGCCUCCCCUGGGGAUAUCAGGAAAUGCACAGCCCAUUGGAAAACGCCCCCGCCUGAGAUUUGGAAACGUGACAGGGAAGGAAUGAGAGCUCCAAAUGUGAUUGGGUGAGUCACCCAGCGAGAUGACUCACCACAAGCCUGAAGGCUGCAGUGCCAAACAAGGGGCUUCCCAGAGGGAACUCGGAGGAGCUCAGGUCACUGCCAAGAUCUGGCCCUUGGGUGGGUUGGCGUCAGGACCAUCAGGCCCCCAGCAGACCAUCAUUCUUUACAAAUCCAAAAUUAGGGGGCCAAACCCUGGCUGGCCACCUCAGUCUCACUGUCCAUCACAUGAGGUUCAAUUCCCAUGACAGAGCUCCUUCUAAUCUUUCAUUUCUUCCUUUCUUUAUCCAGCGAGCGUUUAUUGAGCACCUACCAUGUGCCAUGCACUGUGCAAGGGCAGCAACAGUAUACAAGGUAGACUCCCCUGCCUUUAUGUUAGCUCUUCCUCCCAAACACCAACUCCAGCCCACCUUUUCCACAAUGAAGACUGAAUUCAGACAGUGUUUUUCUCCUACCAGUGUAACCUGUGUGCAAAUGCACAGGCUCACACUUUGCAGGCAGUGCCCUUGCUGAGGAAGUGGGCAGGAGAGGAAGAGGAGGCAGGCCAUAUAUUCACACCCUUCAUGUAUAGCCAACCCUUCCAGUGCCCAGAUUUAGGUGGUAAGAGCUCCCCCAAGCAAUGUUCAGUUGCUUCCUUUAAUAUCCACCCUGCUCACUUAUCCAUCCUUUUUACAGGUAGAGCCAUUCCUCAUGAUACUGGAUUCUGGGAAGCCCCAAUGCUAUGACUGGUCCUGGGGACACAGAAUUGGGCCUGAGGAAUUCAAAUGAACUACUGCCAGGUGCUGAGACAUUGUAGCUGGGAAUGAACUGGUUUAGCUUGGAGUGCUCUGAGAACUACUGGUAACACCCUUAGAAAAUUGGACAUGCUUUACGGGGCAGAUGUUCAUGAUAUGAUGAUGGUAGUUCAUCCUUACUUUGGCAUUUGCAAAAUAUGUUCUGAACAUGAGUAGAGUUUUAUAGCUUUUUUCGAGUCACAAAUGUGCUGGACAAUGAUUAAAAGAUGAUGGCUGAAGAUGGAGAUGGGAGAAGGCAAAGAUGGAAACAAUGAAAGAGCCCCAUUGAAGAUGGUGUCUCUAAAAAUGCCUUAAUUCCUGGCACAUACCACAUAUUUGCAUGUGAGCUACUACUGUUUUCCAAACUGUCAACCUCGGUUUGAAAUCAUUUGGGGGCAUAGUUUUGGAAACGUGGUGGCCUAUAAUCUGAGCAGUUACAAGCUAAACCAGCAAAAUAGAGAAAUGAUUUCCUUCACAGCCUUGGGAUUCUUUGUUAUGCAUUGAUCCACAGUUACCCAUGGUUACUUCCUGCUGUGCUGUACCUUCUUCCCAAGAUAUAUGUAGGACGUUUUACCUCCUAGAAGUGCAGAGAUGGCUGUGGUGAGUUUUGUUUAAUGGGAAGCAGGAGACAGGAAGGUAGGGGAUAAAUAUUUUGACGACUAAGGGCUGUAAACUGUGGAUGCUGAACUUUUCCUUAAACCCAGGCUGCACCUUUUAUUUAAAGGCUGCCCCCCCCCCCCCCACACACACACACACAUGCUUGUUCAGGAAAGGCACUCUUGGGAGUGAGCCAAAAUGAAUAAUUAUCAGACUCUUGAGGGGUACCCAGGGGAUAAAUUGUUCCAGCUCCAGAGCUGAAUUUAAAUAUGCAAAGCAUCAGUGGUCCUGCCUCAGUAAAAAGCAAAUCCCUUCAGUAGAUUAAGCCUACCUAGGGGGGCAAGAGACCCUAUCAGCUUUCUUGUGGGCGUGGCUCAUCUUCAAGUCUCUGCGCAGCCUCUGUGAGGUGUGUAACCGCCCCGUGGACUUCUACCUCCAGAAUACAGGGAAAUAACCCCGGGUUCCCUCCGGAGUCCCUUCUCAGUUGCUCGGACAGUGGCUAAUAGUCCUUAGAUCUGAGGGACUCCUUCCUGGUUUUUAACCUUCAAGGGGAAAAGGGACAUCAACCUUACGUGAGAAUAUAAUGGAAGCAUUAAAACUUCUAAUGGGCGUACCCCCUUGUUCCUUGCAAAUGUUUUCUUUGUCUGCAAAUGUCACAUAAUCGAUUUUGGCGCGGAACAAUGGAAGUCUCACAAAGGAAAAGUUUUCAAGACCCCCUUAGCACUUUCAUUUUGCCAAAACCUCCUCUUUCAGUGCUUCAGCGGCUUCAUUCUUUGUACUGUUUUCCUCUCCAUUCAAGUAAUUUUGUUACUUGACAACUAGACUUAAAGCUGCCAUGGUCUCUUUUUUAAAAGUCUAAUCUUUGAAAAUGACAUCAAUUCCUUUAUGCCUUAAAGGCAGUUUUAUUCACCUCUUCCACAACCCUCUCCACUUCACUUUCUUGCUUUGUUUUGUGAGGUGUGUUUUUUUUUUCCUCUUAAUCUCUUUCUUUUCAUAACAUAGUUCCUUGGGCAGAUUUCAAGUAUUCCGCAAAGAACCCAAACAGAAAAACAUAGUCGUCCCCUUUCUUACCAGUUCUGACUAAUAAGUCCUUGUUGAGCUUGAUCUGGGUGAAAGCUUGGUGCCCAGACCACACUGGGCAGGAAUUCUCAUCGUCUGGAGAGUGGCCGGUCACUGCAGUAAUCAAAACAAGACCCGCGACUCACGAGGAAGGACAGACGGCCUGGGAGAUGCAGCUGCUUGGGCACAGCUGGGGACUGUGUUUCAAAGACUAGCGGGUCCUGUCCCUUUGUCUCUUUAGAUGUGCAUCUAAUCCUGUAGCCAGAGAACUGUCUUAAGAAUUCUGCUUUAUCAAUGUGAGUGAUUCCUGGCUCCGCUGCACAGCUUCAAGGUCAGAGAGGGCUGCAUUUCCAUUACUUUGCUCUGGUGACUUCUGCCUCUAGUAAAGAGGCAAGAAGGCUUCAUUUUUUAAAAAUGUUUUUAAAUAAAUUUUAUGGGGGUCUCAUUGACUUAACAAAGUUGCAUUAGUUUCAGGUGUACAGCAAAGUGAAUCAGUUAUACGUAAUACCUAUAUACCUUCCAAGGAGGCUUCUUUUGAAAGCUAACCACCUGUGGAAAGCUUGAAAAACUGGCCAGUUGCACAGGGAGGUUUGGCCACCCUUUAAUAAAAGGAACCAAAUCAAGCUUUCUCUAGGGAUUCUCAUUUGGGAAGUUGGCUAGGAGGAUGGUAUCAGUACAGGCUUUCUUCUGGCCAUUAUCUUGGCCCUGCAGGGAAAAUUCUGGGCAAGGAGGACAAGCACAGAGAUCUAACAUAUUUAGAGUGCAAUUUGCCCAUGACAAAUCUAGAGGAGAAGUGCCAUGGAGGAAAGGGCUGGUUUCAGACCUCCUUCCCAGCAACACAGACUGAGACAUAAUGUCCACAGAACAACAGAAAAGGGGUAGCAGAGGCUUUGUAAAUCUGGACUUUCCCAUGCCACGUUGGGCUAUUUUAAAGCCUUUCAGAGCCCCAAGCAUCCUUACUUCAGAGGCUCCCAAUUAUAUCAAGCGCUCGAAGGCACCAACAACAUACACCUAAUAAAAUUUCAAAGUAGCCAUGUGACUUGCAUUGCUUUGCAGGUGACUGGUUGACAUUAAGUGUUACAGCUAUUUAGACAUUAAUUCUGAUUAUGCAAUUCCUUUUUACAUUUUGAAGCCAGUGGUUUGGGGUUUCCAUCGUUUCAUUGUUUGUUUUGUUGUUGUUGUUUUCCAAACCUCAAACAUUUACAGAAGCCUUAGAAAGGCUCUUCGACCCAGAUCUUUUUGCCUGAAGCACAGAAAUAGAAACAGCCCUCUGAUGCAAACAAGGCAACGGUUAUAUUAAUCCAACUUUAGAGAUGCUAGCACCUAAACUCUUUAAGACCCUGAUGACUCUGCUGGUUGCCUUCUGCAUUGUUUAUAGCCUUUUAAGUUUCAGUCGUUUGGAUCAAGGGAAAUAAACAGGCUGCCUUCCCAUGCAUGGCCUUGCCACACCAGCACGCACACAACCACUACACAUGGAAUCCUAAGCCAGAUUCAUGUGCCACAGCACACAGAUCUGUUUCCGGUGAUCUUAUCUAAUUACCAUCCCCGACCCAACCCCCCAUUUUCUAUAAAAAUGGAUUCAUAUGCUUUACUCUAAAAAAAGUUCUAAAAUGAGGUUCGUACUCAUUAGAUCAUGACUUCUCUUGGGGUGGGGGAAUUGACUUUGCGACAUAACCUUGGAGAAAAAUCACUGGCUAUUAAAUGCCUUGGUGAUUGCUCCUGUGCCCUUCCAAAAACCGAUGUUGGACUUCUCCCAUCUCCCCAGAGGUCAGCCUGGCCUCCCUCUCAAGCAGCACAAAUAUCAUGAAGAUACCUUUGGAAGUGUCUAAACAGACUCCCUAUUCAAGCAUAAUUCCAAAAAUGGGAUUUGAAUCAAAGACUGCCUUGAUUCUGGGUUAUGUGAUCCCUAAAUCAAUUCCAAUUCUUUAGAUAUAUAUCCACAGCAUUUUUUUUUUCACCUGCAUCCUCUAUGUUAAUGUGUUUGCAUCAGGGGCUACACACUAACUCUGUCACAACUUUUGACAAUGUCUAUGCCAUGUUCCCAUUCCGUGCAUCAAGAGAAGACCAAAAAAAUUUCCUUUGGUACCAGCCGCAGAGGUUCUAAAGUACAGAACCAGGUAUUUUUUCACAUCAGAAGGCCCCUGUUUAUAGGUGGAAACUUUAAAGAGAAACAAGGGAAGGGAUAUUCCUAUUUGAACUCUGGAAUCUUUGUUUUUUCAUUGUCAUUCGGGUCUCACCUCAGAGCACCCUUCUCUUUCUAGAAGCAGCAGCUUCUUCGGGGAGUGUUGGCCCCCAUUGGAGGUGGUUGGGAUUCCACUUGCUUAAACUUACAGGAAGGGCAUCGGAAGGCUCUCUGAGGCUCUGCGUGAGUUCUCCACUCCUCCCUUUCUUUCACCAGUAGAAAAAUGCUAUCCUUACAAGGUCAUGUUUGAGGAGCCCUCAGUUUAGCCAAUGAACCUCCACGUUACAGAGAGCUGAACAAUGCCAGGUUCUUGACUGUGCCCUCUAAGCCUCAGUCGUGAUUGGCACAGAAGCAACCAGUCUGCUGAAAAGCCGAGCCAGCACAAAUGUUUUGAAACGAAUUCCACUGAAACUCUUGUUUGUUACAUCAUACUUGCUGUAGUUCCAGAUAAUCCAACUAUUUAAUAUCAUGAGGUACUAAAUUAAAUAGCUGUACACAAAAUUUUAGAAAAGAUCAAUAUUGUAACAAAAUUACAUAUUAGCAGUAAAAAGUACCCAAGAAAAGAAAAUAUUGAUCCAUUGUGGUUUCUAUACUUGAGUUAUUCUUAGGACUCUGGAGAGACUGGCACUGCUCUGAUAAAUGAGAAGAUGGCUUUCUUUGGUCUUUGAAAAUGUUUAUCGGAGUAUAGUUGAAUUUGCAAUGUUGCGUUAGUUUCAGGUGUACAACAAAGGGACUCAGCUACCUAUAUACACGUGUCUGUUCCUUUUCAGAUUCUUUUCCUAUAUAGGUCACUACAGCGUGUUGAGCAGAUUUCCCUGUGCUGCACAGUAGGUCCCCGUUACUCCUCCAUUCCAUAUAUGGGGAAGACGUUUUGAAUUCGAGAAUACGAACUUGAACUAAGGGGAAACUGCCUGUCUCUCUGGGCUUCUGCUCAUCUGUUUGGGAUGCUCCCUGUUCCAUCUCAGCAGACAGGGUUGUUGGGAGGCCAAAAUGAGCAAAGGGGAGAAGCUAUGCUGUACCACCCAUAUCUGUGUAUUCAUCCUGGUGAGCUGGGCUAUUGGCUUUUGUCAGUGAGCCCUUUUCUUUUGUUUAUGCCUUCCCUUCAUAGCUCUUAUUACUCAGAUUCCAUUCUGGAAUUUUGAAAAGUAAAAUAAGAAAGUUAUCAAUCAGCAUUCUGAAUGCACACCCAAUAUAUGGCGACUGGUCUACAAAGCUCAUGGUCAAGGUGCCCAUUCAUCCCCACAUCACCUCCCAAAGGUUUAGAGCACUAGCCGAGCGGAGCUCAGUGCAGGUGAAGAUUGCCAAUCCCCGAGGUUGAAGACAGCCCAUGAAGUUGACAAAUUGAGGGUCACAGGAAGCAGAGAGCCACAUCGAACUUCCUUGAUGAGCUGCCAUAUAUUAGUCUUUGUGCUAGGAAAGAAAGAGGAAGAAAAAUGAGACAAUGUGAAUUGCAUGUGAGACCAGGGCUCUCAAUUGAGUAUGAGAGGGGGGAAAAAUCCUGCACAAAAAACAAAACAAACAAACAAAAAAACCUGGUUCACUGUUUUGCAGACACUAACAAACAUGGCUAUAAAAGCACAUUUUGUAACACAAAAGCCUACGUAGAUCGUAGACAUGUUUAUAGCAUCCUUAAUUGUGUAGUUAAACCAGCAGUCUGAAUUCUCUUAGUCCCCUGAGUGGUUAAUUAAAUAUUUUCCUUAUUCAUUGCCCACAACUGUGGUUUUCCCCCUCUAUGCACCCUAGAAAAAUUCCCAAGACUAGACUUAGGAGGACACAAGCCGGUUAUGUGGUAAAAUAAGAGUGCCUUUUCUGUUGGAUGUUCAUUUUAGUGCCCUGCAUUUCCAGGGCAUACCAUGUUUAGAAACUUUUUUCUCUAAACGUAGGAAUUACUAGGCACCACGAUUUUGAAAUACCAAUUUCCAUAUCUUAAGCAGCUGUCAACUUGCCAAUUCCCUUUGGGUCUCCUUUACAUUUUCUUAUAAUGUUUCCUUGUGUUUUGGGUUGCCCUCAAAAAGAGUUUUGGGGGGGGCAUGACUUUUUAAAUUGAUAGAAAUGCAACUGUACAGAUUUUUGCCCCCUUGUAUCUGUGAGCAUGAUCUCUAUCAGGCUUGAAAAAUCUGCUUUAUCAUUUUGUAUAUUUGACUAUUUUGUAUUCAACAUUACUUGAUUCCUUAUGUGCAUGGCGAUGUAUUAAAAUGUGGGAUUUCUAUUACCGUG